UCGGUGGAAACGAGAAUAAAACGUGAAGGAUAACGUUGCGUCAGCAACGGCCCGUAGGGCGAGGCGAAGCCGAGUCAUCCUGCACGACCCACCA
rnacentral:sRNA from 1 species